UACAGAGGGGUCAAGCGUUAUUCGGAAUUAUUGGGCGUAAAGGGCGCGUAGGCGGCCUGGCAAGUGGAAGGUGAAAUCCCUCGGCUUAACCGAGGAACUGCCCUCCAAACUGCUUGGCUUGAGUCCGGGAGAGGUGAGUGGAAUUCCCAGUGUAGCGGUGAAAUGCGUAGAUAUUGGGAGGAACACCAGUGGCGAAGGCGGCUCACUGGACCGGAACUGACGCUGAGGCGCGAAAGCGUGGGGAGCAAACGGG
rnacentral:rRNA from 1 species